rnacentral:rRNA from 1 species
UACAGAGGUGGCAAGCGUUGUUCGGAAUUACUGGGCGUAAAGGGCGCGUAGGCGGCCGCCUAAGUCAGACGUGAAAUCCCCAAGCUUAACUUGGGAACUGCGUCUGAUACUGGGUGGCUUGAGUUCGGGAGAGGAAUGUGGAAUUCCAGGUGUAGCGGUGAAAUGCGUAGAUAUCAGGAGGAACACCGGUGGCGAAGGCGGGUCUCUGGGCCGAUACUGACGCUGAGGAGCGAAAGCGUGGGGAGCGAACAGG